CAACUCGAGUACAUGAAGCUGGAAUCGCUAGUAAUCGCAAAUCAGAAUGUUGCGGUGAGUACGUUCCCGGGCCUUGUACACACCGCCCGUCACACCAUGGGAGUUGGAAGCACCCGAAGUCGAUGACCUAACCGCGAGGAGGAGUCGCCGAAGGUGAAGCCAGUGACUGGGUGAAGUCGUAACAAGGUAUC
rnacentral:rRNA from 1 species